CACUUCACACCACCAUUUCUUCCACCAGAACUUUGCACACCAUUUCACACCACCAUCCCCUCUUCACCCGAACUCUACACCAUUCCCUCCACCACUUUACACCACUAUCUUCUCCACCCAAAAUUUAAAAUCCUGCAAAUUUGGAGCACCAUAAUAUGAGAAGUAGUGGGUUGGUUUGUACUUUUAUGUAUUGCUACAGAUCUAGUCCCCCAUGGGAAAAAUGGGCACCACAGGAUCAGCCAUCAAAGACCCAAAAAUUGGGCAGAGAAAUUCUAUAGGUGGGUCUCAUUUUUGCUAUGAUUUCAAGGAGAAAGAAGAAAAGGACUGGUAGUUGGAGAUUUUCCAUUUCUGCAACUUGCCAUUUUCACUGAUCUGAUUUGUCUACUUUUUCAAGAAUUUGAUGGUGGAAGCUUAUGAAUUCAUGAAAUUUUUUCUUGGAUUUUUGGGUGAAUUUGGAUUUUGGGGCCAUUGUUGUGGAAGAAUCUUUGGAGACAAAGUCGGGGGCGGUGGUGGAGACAAAGUCGGAAGCGGUGGUGGCGACUAGCGGCAGUAGAAAGAGAUGACAGAGGAAAAGAGGGAGAGGGUAUGAAUAAUUUUUGCUAUGAUUUCACGAAGGCAGAAGAAAGAGGACUUGUAGUUGGAGAUUUUCCAUUUCCGAAACUUGCCAUUUUCACUCAUCUGAUUUGUCUACUUUUUCAAGAAUUUUAUGAUGAAAGCUUAUGAAAUUCAUGAAAUUUUUUCU
rnacentral:lncRNA from 1 species